rnacentral:rRNA from 1 species
GGCUACUGGAACAGGCAGUACUGUUCAUAACAUGAGGAAUUGACGAGGGAAUGACUGUGCUGGCUUGACGAAAAGUCAUUGGCUUGGCUAUUAGUGGAGGCGAACGCAGCGAAAAGCUUAGCUACUAGUCGAAGCGAACGCAAGUCAAAGUCUAGUAACGGAGAGCAUGUGCACGUCUUUCUCUUUCCACUCUCACACAUGUGCACCUAUUGUAGGUCCUUGCAAGAGGACCUAUGUCUACCUACACACCCAAUGUAUGUCUAUAGAAUGUGAACCGAACCCAUCAAAAAGUGAUCACACUUGAUAGAGGGCUAGGAAAAUAAUUAUACAACUUUCAGCAAUGGAUCUCUUGGCUCUCGCAUCGAUGACGAACGCAGCGAAUCGCGAUAAGUAAUGUGAAUUGCAGAUUUUCAGUGAAUCAUCGAAUCUUUGAACGCACUUUGCGCCCCUUGGUAUUCCGAGGGGCAUGCCUGUUUGAGUGUCAGUGAAUUUAUCAACCAUGUCUUGGACUUUGUUUCUAGACACGGCUUGGACUUGGGAGCUUGCCGGUCUUUCAUGAUCGGCUCUCCUUAAAUGCAUUAGCGGAGCAUCCGAGGCUAGUCUUCUUCGGCGUUGCAUGGCUUGGACGUGAUAGUGAUAGAUCGUCCUGGCGUGGAGCGUCAAGACAAACUCGGGCACUUUGCUUCCAAUCCAUCCGGAUGGGGAUCAUCUUGCUGGAGGAGACUUUAGUUAUUAGUGGACACGAACACAGUCGGGCUAGAAAACCCCUCUGUUAUUAGUCGAGACGAACACAAGGCCAUCCAUAACAUAGACUGGGUUGCCAUCUGACUUUUUACACCCUUGACCUCAAAUCAGGUAGGACUACCCGCUGGAACUUGAGCAUAUCAAUAAACUGAGAGGAGGGGA